rnacentral:rRNA from 1 species
AAAGCAUUUGCCUUAAGAAUGGGCUGCAAUUAUUAGAGCAAAUCAAUCAUUUUCGGAUGUAGUUUGCUGACUCUGAAUAACGCAGCAUAUCGGCGGCUUGUUCGCCGAUAAUCCGAGAAAAGUGUCUGCCCUAUCAACCUGAUGGUAGUCUAUUAGUCUACCAUGGUUAUUACGGGUAACGGAGAAUAAGGGUUCGACUCCGGAGAGGGAGCCUUAGAAACGGCUACCACAUCCAAGGAAGGCAGCAGGCGCGAAACUUAUCCAAUCUUGAAUAGAUGAGAUAGUGACUAAAAAUAAAAAGACCAUUCCUAUGGAACGGUUAUUUCAAUGAGUUGAUCAUAAACCUUUUUUCGAGGAUCAAGUGGAGGGCAAGUCUGGUGCCAGCAGCCGCGGUAAUUCCAGCUCCACUAGUGUAAAUCGUCAUUGCUGCGGUUAAAAAGCUCGUAGUUGGAUCUGAGUCGCAUGCAAUGGUUCGCCUUUGGCGUUAAUCAUUGUUGUGACUAUUUGCUGGUUUUCUAUUGAAAUUUCGAUUUCUUUAGUGGCUAGCGAGUUUACUUUGAAUAAAUUAGAGUGCUCAGAACAAGCGUUUGCUUGAAUGGUCGAUCAUGG